AAACAGGAAGCAUCCCUUUUUCCCCAUUCACCUCCUCUGGAGGCAAGAUGUGAGCCACCUGCAAGGAGGGACGCCAAUAAGGCACCCGAUAAGAUAAGUCUUAUAAAAUAUAUAGAUGUAUGAUAAUUGAGACUGAGCUAACGGAUGAGAAUCCUAGUCAUUGAACAAGCAGUAUUGUACCUAAUACAAGUUUCUGUGUAUUCAUUUGGGCCCUAACUCAGGCGGGGGCUGGUAAAAAGCUUCCACGUGGUGGUGGGGCUCAGCGGCUUUUGGCAAAAAGAUUUAUCAUAACAGAAUGGUGUCAGUGAGCAGGAUCACCACAUGUGCCAAGGUUCCCAGAGAAAGGGGUAAACCUGCCACCACAGCCUGCCCUGUGGGGACACUGAGAGAAAAUCAAAAGCUGUUGAUUCCUUCCAAACUAAUAUGGUUUGACCAAGCAAGACCCCCUGAAGCUGAGAUGAUACAGCCUUACAGACUACAAAAACAAGGACUUGGUCAGGUUUCUAUGCUUCUUUCCCAAAACCCUAUGGAAAAACAAUCCCUUGUCCUGGAUGUGACCCUGUACUAUAUGCAAAUGGGGAUGUGGUGGAAGACUAAGAGAAUUCCUCUACCUACAAUGACUGCCAUUAUCAUCCUUGUACAGUGACUGAGAAGCAGCUUCAGGAAUUCUACAUCUAUGGGUGUGGUCAGAUGGG
rnacentral:lncRNA from 1 species